CUUGACCUCAGAUCAGGC
rnacentral:rRNA from 16 species